AUCUCCUGCCUCCAGGCAGUUUCACCGUUCCCCCCCUUUCCACAGCCAUCUUGGUGUCUCCCCAGCAGUGCGGGGAACACGCUGGAUUUUCUGCAUCCUGUUAAUCAGAACCAGGCACGACUGCUGCCCCUGGGCUGGCGGGAGAGCAGGAGUUAACCCAUCCUGCGGGAUGAGGCUGUAAUUGCCACUAGGCUCCUAAGAUGAAUGAGCUUUUAAGGACUGCCAACUUCUGAAUGGAGGCAGGAGGACCAACAACAGCACCGACUUAAUAACCAGCAGCCAGCGGCAGGAGCACAUAUGGAGGCAGCGUGGUUCAGCUGGAAAUAAACCCCGGAGGUGUCAGGGCAGCGGAUAAGGGCUGUGCUGGCAGCGUGGAGGUGGAAAAGAUGAAAUCUGACUGCUGGGGAAACAACCAAGGCUGCCAGGCUGGACAUGCGUGAUACAUCUCUGGCUGGGACUUGGAUCCUUUGAACCCAGCUGAGAAGCAGCAGAGAAAACCAUCAAAUUAGGCACAGGGUUUGACCUCAGAAGACCAUGGAGAGGCUGUGUGCCCUGGGACCCCACAGAGCAGCACCUGUGGGGGCUGGGCAGAGACCGAGGGCUGCUCCUGCAUGUCAUGGGAGGGGUCACCAAGGGGCACCCGCCCUUGCACUGUGCCAGUAUCACCACCUCUACACCAGGCCCUGUGGCACAAAGGGGUCCAGGGGACCUGUUGUGGCAUUGCCCUGACUCUGAGCAGCUCUUGGAGCUCUUGCACAGCAGCAAACACGUUUAGAACAUUGUACAUCACCCUGCAAGCAGCUCCCUGAGCAGGGGCAGCGGGGCUCUUGUGGAGGAGUCACAGCUAAGCUUAAGCAUCUGGCUCUGUGCAUUCCUAUAUUGUAAUAAAAUAAGUCUUCCCACA